AUGGAAUCCCGUUACACCAAUGGAAUUUGGAACGGAUGUUAAGCUUGUUUGCAAUAUUCCAUGCUGCGUACAAAAUACAGCCGUAGGUCAGGCAUCUUGGGAUAUAUUUAUAAAUAAUGAGUCAACUAAUAUAGCUGCCAAUUCACACUCUAGAUAUCCAUCUAAGUAUUCGCUGUUGAUUUGGGAAGACAAGUGUACACUUGUGAUAAAAAACUUCAGUCCGUCGGAUGUGAAUAUUGAUUAUACAUGCACCUACAACUUAAGAAGUUACAGUAAAAAACUCAGCCUCAACGAAGACGACUUUGAACUUCAACCAAAGGAAGACAUUGAAAGGCUAGUCCGUGACAAAGUAGACAGAAAUUCAUACAUUAUUGAAGUAAACUUUACAAAUGUGUAUCCAAAACCUAAAUGCUUUGUUCUAUAUAAGGGACAGGAUUUGACAUCUAAUAUCGUGUCAAAAACUAGUAUCUCAGGAUUUUUUUACACAUCAUACCAGACAAUUAUCAUCAACGAUGUGAAGGAUGGCAAUGUCCGGAUGUCCUGCACGAUAGGAAAAUCAACAUAUAAAAUAAAAGAUAAGGAAUUCAAGUUAGAUGACAAAGAUAAUUCUGAUUUAUCAUCAAUAAAGGAAAUACUUUAUGUUGUAUUUUAUUUGGUAUUGGUAUUGGUAACUGUCGUUAUCAUUUGCUUGAUAAAGAAUUGCAUGAACAUUACAUGGAAUCAUUCCAGGGGAUUAUGUGCGUUCGUUUUGAUAUACUUAUAUUUAAGUCCAUUUCGACGGGCGCCAUCAGUUGAAAACAUGGAACAAAGAAUGGAAACUAAACAACCUCUUUUGUCUAAGAUCUCAACAACAGCAGACAAGAAAGAGACAACGAACCUUACACGACAAACUUUGUAGAUUAAAACAAAAACACAAAGUCUUGUAAUUUUGCAUGAUGGUCCUUUAAUAUAGACGUUUCUCAGUUAUAAUUUAUAGUACAGUCACCAGGGGGCACUAGAGAUUUGUCAUGUAUAAAUGCUGUUCAGCACAGAGCUAUCCAAUGUUUUUAUGGGUCUUUGUAAAUAUACGCUAAUGACGCCGUUAAUGGGGAUAUGGGUUGGAUACCUCCAUGUGUUCAGCAGUGGGGAUGUGGUUUCAAACACUGGUCUAGACGUUAUAUCAUGUCUACAGAUAGAGUGAAUUAUAAAGUGUAUCGAUGGGCUUUUAGAAUUGCUAUUGUUAAAAAGAAAAACUUGUGUAACAGAAUUAUGACAAAAUUUAGAGAGUGCUAUUUAGAAUUAUGUACUGAUUUAGAGAACUUAUAAAUUGUUUAAAGAUGUUUUUGAAAGAGAGAUGUAUAUGAGUAAAAACAUUUCUAGUCGAUACCAAAGUGCAUUAAUUGCUAAAUUUAGGUGUUGUGUCGCUCCGCUGGGAAUAGAAAUAGGUCGUUGUGAAAACGAGCUGUAAACCAAAAAGUUUGCUUUUUAUGUAAUAAUCAGAUUGAAGAUGAGAAACAUGAUUUAUUAAUCUGUCCUUAGUAUGCAUAUUUGCGUAAAAAUUUAUUUUAUAAAGUUAAAAGAAUCAAUGUUGAUUUUAAUAUUUUAUCUGAUGAUGAUAAGUUUAUAUAUCUUUUUUGAAAAUUCUGAUUGUUAUGAUAUGGUUGUCAUGACUUGCUUUGAUAUUUUAAGCAGAAAAAUAGUAUUUUCUAUGCUUUAUUGAUAGUUAUGUUUUUACAGAACUGAAAUGUAGGUUAAAUAUAUAGUUGUGAUUUAUUGAAAUGUCUAUACUGUCUGACAAUUCUUUAUAUAAUGCCAUUUGUAUCUUAACCUAUAAAAUUUCUGUUUUAUACAAUGUAUAUAUUAUUAUGGUUGUGUAUUAUAUGAAUGUCAAGUGAUGAGACUUUACACAAUUUUCACGUCCGAGGUCGAUAUACUUCUUUAGGUUGAUAUAUCCUCGUAUCGACCUCAUACAAAGGCUACAAUUGUUAUAUUAUUAUUCCCAAUAAGCCAGAAGUAGAGUACCAAUUCAUUGUAUUUGGUGUUUCGAUUGUGUCAGAUAUUCUAAAAAUAACCGUGCAAUAUCUCUUUUCUAUCUGCUGUUUUCAGUCUACCUUUGAAAAAAUAGUAUACAAUUAUAGCCUUUGUAUGAGGUCGAUACGAGGUUAUAUCUAAGAGAAGCAUAUUGACUGAGGACGAAGUCCGAGGUCGAUAUGCUUCUCUGGGUCGAUAUAACAUCGUAUUGACCUCAACCAAAGGCUACAAUUGUUAUAUUAUUAAUCAACAACUAAAGCAUGAACAAUGUAAAAUUGGGGAUUUCUAGUAUCUAUUCUUAGUAACAUGCUGUAUGCCCUGUGCAAUAUGCUGUUUUUGACCUACGCAAAGCUAAACACAAUAGUAUUGGCGUGCAAACUGAGCAAAUACAAAUGUACAUGUGAUCAAGUUUUAACGAAUCACAAAUCCUUAAAAAUAUUCGAUUAAUGAUAUUUUAACAUAUGACUCUUUCUUAACGAAUCAAAUUAGUUAGAAUAUAUAUACACAAUAAUAAUAUUAAUAAAAUAUUAAAUCUGAAUCUGUAAAGACGACAUCUGAUAUGCAUUUCAGGGUAGGUAAAAAUGUUGCAAACUAAUAAAGUCUUAUCAAAACUGAUCAAAAACUGUGUUUACAACUUUAAAUAAUUUAGGGGCAUUAAUCUGAAAUGGAUUGACUGACUGAAUGCUGUUUGCUGUAAGUAACAAGUAAUUCAUGAAUAUUCAGGAUAAUACAGUUAUUCAGUAAGUUGGGAUUACAAAGUACAUGUAGAACUUACUAUCUUAGAUACAAUAAUGUAACCUUGUGUCCGCCACUUCUUCAAGCUGUUUGAAUGAAGCGGCUUAGCUACUGCAUCCAGGUUGAUCGAAUUGAAAGGCGGAAAUUUAGACUACCACUUCAAAAAGAGGAUAUUCUGUUGCAGACACUGUUCCUUCAUAUAUACAGGACAUAUAUACAGACCCGUGAAAGAGUUGUUGUGGUUGCAAGAGUUUUUCAGCGUGUAGAUUAGCGUGAAAAACGUCCCCACCAGAGUUAUCAGAUUUUAUGCCCUUCCCCCUUUUUACAGGAUUCGGAUUUGUAUUUAUAAAUCCCUAAGAGCCAAACGGACGGCAUUCCUUAGCACGGGGUUAGCGUUUACAGCCUGAUGAGACAAACCCAGAUGAUCAGUUUUACAUACACCCAGACCACCAUUGGCGUUAUUCUAGAAUGGAAAUUAGAAUUCUAUGGUAAUUAGUAAUGUUUUCAAUCAAUAAUGUUUUACACCAAAGGAGACAUACGUAAUCAUAAGAAAACGUUAUAUAGAGAAUAUCAUAUGGCUUUUUCAAUAUCACAUCCGUAUCAACCCGAGACACCAAUAUAAUCCCAAGAGCUCUGCUCGAGGGAUUAUAUUGGUUGAGGGUUGAUACGGUGUGUGAUAUUGAAAAAGCCAUAUCAUAUACAUAUAGAUUCUACCACUGCAUCGAGUGUGAUACGAUAUUUAUCCACUCGAGACAGUUAAAUUUUCAAAUUUAAAACGCGAGGCUCUCCGAGCGUUUUAAAUAUUUAAAAUUUAACUGUCGAGAGUGGAUAAAUAUCGUAUUACACGAGAUUUGGUGGUGGAAUCUGUUUCUCUAAUGAUUUUCAAACAAUAUGCAGGCAAACUUAUUCCUUCUUUUUGAAUGAUCUGCAAAAAGAUGUGUUCUUUCUAUGUGACGUCAUCAGGCAUGGUCGCCUUUUUUCAUGCCGUCACACUAGGAAAUUCAGAGGAAAGCAAGAAAAUUCGACGUCAUAAUCGUAUUUUAACCAAUGAAGAACUGAGAUCAAACGAACCACACGUUGAUUUAAUUUUUUUUUAUACAAUGGGUGCAGAAAGAGAUAAAUUGACGAAGAAUUAGAGAAACUUUAUUAUAUACAUAUACCACACGUAGAUGUUUUUAUGUGACAUGACGUCAUACAGAUAAUAAGUUUUAAAAUGACGUCAUGCAGAUUAUAGGUUUGACAUGACGUCAUACAGAUUACGGGUUUGAUAAAGCCGUUGUAACAGUGACUGCAAUCGAUGACGUGACGUCAUACAGAUUAAAGGUGUGAUAAAGCCUUUGCAACCGUGCUGAUAUGGACAUCAUCACGGGUGGCUGAUACAGCAUGCUUGCCAAUGAUUGUAUUAAACAUACAAUUUAUAUGUAUUUACUACUAAGUAUAUAAUAAAAAAAAUUAUUUAAGGUGGUACAUAACACUACAGGGAGAUAACUCUAUAAAAAUCAGCUGAACGUUUUUAAAAUCAGUUAAUAUCGUUCUUGGCCUUUAAAGGUAUAAAUAGAAACGUAAAUUAUCUUAUGAAUAAAGAAAUAAAAAGAUGUAGUAUGAUUGCUAAUAAGACAACUCUCCACCAGAGACCAAAUGACAUAGAAGUUAACAACUAUAGGUCACCGUACGGCCUUCAAUAAUGAACAAAACUCAUACCGCAAAGUUAGCUAUAAAAGGCCACGAAAUGACAAAUGUCAAAAAAUUCAAACGAGAAAACUAACGGUCUUUAUGUACAAAAUAAUGAACUAAAAACAAAUAUGAUAUAGAGCAACAAACGACAACCACUAAAUUACAGGCUCCUGACUUGGGACAGGCACAUACAGAAUGUGGCGGGGUUAAACAUGUUUCCAGGCGCCAGACCCUCCCCUUAACCUGGGACAGUGAUGUAACAGCACACUUUAUCGCCUAAACGUACAUAAAUGUUUUUUUUUUUUUUUUUAAAUUAACCGCUUCAAUCAUCUCAUACCUUUAGUAAGUAGAUCUAGCAUAAUUACCUUUCCAGACUAACAGACGAAGAAAGAGGCGACAACACAAAGCCCAUAAUAAAUUAAGCCAAAAGGACUUUCAUCUUCCACGACAACUGUUUUCCUCCACUUUUGAUAUCGAAACAACAUGUAGAUAUACUUAGUGAACUAGAUAAUUAUAAUAAAAAAAAAGAAUUUCAAACAUUUCUGGAAAAAACGCCCCGUCUCAUCGUAUAGUAAUUCCUAUACAUUUUUUGUAUUUGUUAUUUCUAUUGUUAUAUUUGUAGCCUGGCGUUGUAAGUGGAGUUCCGUGAAUCAUUAAUUUUAUUGUUCUGAAUAUGGAUUUUAAUUUGUUGCAGGAUUUUCAACAGUCAUUCUACUAUUGCUGGUCAUAUCACAUUCGUAUUUCCAUCGACUCAAUAUAGCUUAUAAAUUUAGUCUGAUAGGUAUUAUAUGUAACACAUAGCUGAGAGGGUGACAGAGUUGAUUUCUACACCGAGAUAACAUUGUCAACCGAGGCAAAGCCAAAGGGCAACAGUCUGCUCUAUUACCUUCUUAGCUAUGUGUUAAUUAUUUUCUAUUACUGAAUGCUCUGUUAUUGUUGAGGGGUUCAUGUCUAUAUAUUGGCGAGUUUUGGAAGCUUCUAUGGGCCAUUCAGAUACCCUCAGAAACAAGAUUCUCGGAAGUCUCGAAAAUUUUCAAUCAUUUAUAUAGGUAGUUAUCUAUGUCUUUUAUACGGUCCCUUUAUGGAUAGGCUACCACGUAACAUUGUAUAUUUAAACAAUCAAAGUUCAUUUGUAGAUUGGAAAGUUAAAAAGUAAAGACUAGACUGCAGUAAAAACAUCAAUUAUAUAUUCCAGCCUAUUUGCCUUUUGACAAUACAAAUUCGUUUUUAUGUGAACGUUUAUUAAAUAUCAAGUAUUGUGAUAACGCAAUUAUAUAUUUUUUGUUUUGAGACAGUCCCUGUACGCGUUGAGUGUAGCAUUUAAUACAACGUGCUAUUGUCCGUUUUGACAAUGCACCUGCAAUACUUGUACUGACAAUACGUUAUGUCCAAGAAUGAUUUAUCGCGUGAUAUUUUGUAUAUCCAUCAUAGCCUGAGAAAAUGUUGGAAAGCAAAAAGAAACGGUGUUACUGUUAAAAAUAUUUAGUUUAGGUCGGAAACACAGUGGUCACAAAGCAGAAAGAUAAUUAAAGAAAAUGAUAUCUCUGUCAAAAAUAUUUAUUUUCAUUAAUAGAUAAUAACAGACCAAGGGAAUAUUCAUUAAAACUAUUAAGUUCAAACUGAAACCAAACUUAUCAUUAAUAGAAUAUAAUUAUGUCCCAUGGGUUUACACAAUGAAUACAUUUAUGAGAAUUGUAUGCAACAUAAGAGCACCAUUUUAAAUCCUUGCAUCUCAAACAAAAAAAAAAAACCGUAAUUGAUAUUUUAAAAUAACCUUAUAAUUACUACAUUAAUUAUUUGAUACCGUUUUAGUUUUGGUUUUAAAAGUCUCUGCUUAUAUUUUGUAUAGCAAUAUAUUCGGAAAGUUAGACUUGAAGAAGAGAUUGAUUUGAUAAAAAAUGUCCAUCAGUAAAUACUUGUCUGACGUUUGUGUGGCGUGGUCAAUUACAAAAUAGUAAUAAUAAUUAUUUUAUUAUAGUGUCACAUAUUGAUUGACAAAAUAUUUACAUAUCACAGUAUUCAAUAAAACAAUCAAUACCCAGUCAUAAAUUUGAUUUAUGAGACACUUAACACAUGCUAUGUACAUAUCAAUAUAGUUUCACAGUAAAAUUCAUAAAAUUAUCAUCAAAAAAGUUUAAACAUGUUUAUUCAUUUAAAACCAUUUAUAUUUUGAGCAAAAAAAUAAAUAAAAAUCUGAAAUGAAUGUUGUUUAAAAAGUAACAGUACCCGAGAAGGGUUGCUUAUACUAUUUUGAUGUACAUGGGAGUGCCCAUGUUGUUGAUUGAUUGAUUGAUUGAUUGAUUGUUGGUUGCUUAACGUCCAGUGGUGCUGUUGAUUGACAGUGUUGGUCAUUCAAUGGUGAUACGGUCACAUAGAAGUGAAAAUUGCAGCUAAUUAGUGCUGAUUUUCGUAAUAUGAUUGCCCAGAGAUAACGAUAAGAUGAUUAUAAUUGACGCUUUUAAUUAUUUUAUCAUUUCGUUUACGCUUGGAUUAACGGUCAUAAUUCAUGAUAGACCUUACCAUAAUGUAUUUGAAUAGAUUAAUGAUUGUCAAACUUGUGUUAUAUAUUUUUAUGAUUUUUGUUUAGUGCCUCUUUUGUAGUUAUACAUAUCAAGAGUUUGAAGUUGAAAGGAUAACUGUUAAUUUACUUUUAAGACUAAUCUUUUUUGCAAGUUUUCCACAACUAUUCACGACGUAAAUUGAUAAAUUACAUAGUAUAGCAAUUAUCAUUAUUUUUAUUUUCUUAGUUUAGAUUUUUUUAAGUAGUUUUAGUAUAAGAAAAAAGUUUAUUUUUUAAUGUUCACAUUGCCUCCCCUUAUUAUUUUACUUAUGUAAUAACUUUUGAUCUAAUUUUUUAAUUCGAGUGAAAACGAAUUUUGUUUAGCGGGGAGUGAUGUGGCGUGGUCAAUUACAUCAAAGAUUUGAUGUUAAUCAGUUUAAUCAUCUUUCUCUUGAUUAAUGUGACAGUUUAUACGGUACACGGGUUGCACAGUACAGUUGCAAUAACAUUUAGAAUUUUAUCAAAAUACUGUAAGACUAUAAAGCAAUGUUUAAUCUAAUUUAAGAACAGAUGUUUAUAGCACGAUCUUGCGAGAAACUUUAUGUAUUGGUCAGUUGUCAUAUAGACGAGAAUGAAGUCAGUUGUAAUAUAGAUGAGAAUGAAGUAACAAGUUAAAUUGGAAAUUAUAUUGUGAACCUAUAUAUUUAUAUCAUACAUGUACUGCUAUAUGAAUAUCUAUACGAAUAAACAUGUGAACAUUAAACGGACUUCGUUACUAGUAUAUAGA